AGAGUUUGAUCCUGGCUCAGGACGAACGCUGGCGGCGUGCUUAACACAUGCAAGUCAAGGGGGCCCAGCAAUGGGCAACCGGCGAACAGGUGCGUAACACGUGAGCAACCUACCGAACUGUGGGGGAUAGCCGGCCUAACGGCCGAGUAAUACCGCAUACGCUUUCAUUGAGGCAUUUCAGUGAAAGGAAACCUACGGGACAGAUCGAGGGGCUCGCGGCCUAUCAGCUAGUUGGCGAGGUAACGGCUCACCAAGGCGACGACGGGUAGCUGGUCUGAGAGGAUGGCCAGCCACAUUGGGACUGAGAUACGGCCCAGACUCCUACGGGAGGCAGCAGUGGGGAAUCUUGCGCAAUGGCCUAACGGCUGACGCAGCGACGCCGCGUGUGGGAUGAAGCUCUUCGGAGUGUAAACCACUGUUGCCCGGGACGAAUAGCUCGAUUAAUCGAGCCUGACGGUACCGGUGAGAAGGAACCCCU
rnacentral:rRNA from 1 species